rnacentral:rRNA from 1 species
AUGUCUGGGAUGAAGAUGCUUGUAGUUAUUGAGUUUGCUUCUGAUGUAAGUGAUGAUGACUGGAAAAACUUCCACUCAUUUCUCUUAACAAUGGGCAGAGGAAGCCAUAUCAUCAUCAUAAGUAGAAUUCAAAGAUUAGCCCGAUUUGGAUCCGUGAAACCGAUUUUUUUUAGUGUUCUGUCUUAUGACGAGUGGAGGUACCUAUUCAAGACACUAGCAUUUGGGAGCGUAGACCCGGCAGAACAUCCACGUCUACUCAAAAUAGCAGAUGAAGUUGCCAGGCAGUUGCACACACAAGGUUCACUUUUCGCAACAAAUGCUUACGCAGAUUUGUUGAGAAGAAAUCUCAAUGCCCAGUUUUGGCAUUGCCUAUUGGACAAGGGGAUAAGAAUGAUUAAAAGAAACAUCGCCAUGUAUGGUGUGCAUCCAAGCAUGCUUAUAGAACAAGGGCACCCGGUGGACAUAACGGACUUUGCUAUGCAUCCACUUAGCAUGAUACCUUAUACGACUAAUGUUUCAAUCAAGAAGGAAUCACCAAGUGUGACAUUUGGGGAGUUGCUAGCGGAUCCUAGUGUUAGACCGAAAGAAGACUUCAUUCUUAUUUCCUGGGAAUCAAGGAUACCCCCUCAUAAUUUAUUUUCUAAUUUUGUUAUAAGUCGUGCUCAGGACACAGAUGAAGGGAGUGCCUUGCCAGGGAGGAAGCGACGAGGUGUGCCAAUUUAA